UAGGGAAUCUUCCACAAUGGGCGCAAGCCUGAUGGAGCAACGCCGCGUGUGUGAUGAAGGGUUUCGGCUCGUAAAACACUGUUAUAAGAGAAGAACGGCACUGAGAGUAACUGUUCAGUGUGUGACGGUAUCUUACCAGAAAGGAACGGCUAAAUACGUGCCA
rnacentral:rRNA from 1 species